CUUGGGACUUGUUUGGUUUGGGAUGGGAUGGGUUUGGAAUGGGAUGGAUUUGGGAUGGGAUGGAUUUGGGAUGGGAUGGAUUUGGGAUGGGAUGGAUUUGGGAUGGGAUGGAUUUGGGAUGGGAUGGGAUGGUUUGGGAUGUGUUUGGUUUGGUUUGGGAUGGGAUGGAUUUGGGAUGGGAUGGGUUUGGGAUGGGAUGGGUUUGGGAUGGGGAUGGCAUGAAUUUGGGAUGUGUUUCGUUUGGGAUGGGAUGGAUUUGGGAUGUGCUUGGUUUGGGAUGGGGAUGGGAUGGAUUUGGGACGUGUUUGGUUUGGGAUGGGAUGGGUCUGGGAUGGGACGGGAUGGGUUUGGGACGUGUUUGGUUUGGGAUGGGACGGGUUUGGGAUGGGACGUGUUUGGUUUGGGACGGGAUGGAUUUGGGACGGGAUGGAUUUCGGACGUGUUUGGUUUGGGACAGGAUGGGUCUGGGACGGGAUGGAUUUGGGAUGGGAUGGAUUUGGGACAGGAUGGAUUUGGGACAGGAUGGAUUUGGGACAGGAUGGAUUUGGGACAGGAUGGAUUUGGGACAGGAUGGGUUUGGGAUGUGUUUGGUUUGGGACGGGAUGGGUUUGGGACGGGAUGGGUUUGGGAUGUGUUUGGUUUGGGAUGGGAUGGAUUUGGGAUAGGAUGGGAUGGGUUUGGGAUGGGAUGGGUUUGGGACGGGAUGGAUUUGGGAUGGGACGGGAUGGGUUUGGGACGUGUUUGGUUUGGGAUGGGAUGGGUUUGGGAUGGGAUGGGUUUGGUUUGGGACGUGUUUGGUUUGGGAUGGGACGUGUUUGGUUUGGGACGUGUUUGGUUUGGUUUGGGACGUGUCUGGUUUGGGAUGGGUUGGUGACACGUCCCGUCCCAGCUGUGCCCGCGUGGGCGCUGGGUGCAGCCCCGUCCCGGCCCCCGCCCGGCGCAGCAGGAAUCCCCAGCGCCGCGUUCCUGGCCGGGGCGGCGGCGUGGC
rnacentral:lncRNA from 1 species